rnacentral:piRNA from 1 species
CAAGCUCUUUUGGCUCAGCUCCUGCCCA